GAGGGUAUAGCUCAGUGGUAGAGCAUAUACUUAGCAUGCACAAGGUCCUGGGUUCGAUCUCCAAUACCUCCA
rfam:Camelus ferus unplaced genomic scaffold scaffold67, whole genome shotgun sequence.